GAUGAAGAACGCAGCGAAAUGCGAUAAGUAGUGUGAAUUGCAGAAUUCAGUGAAUCAUCGAAUCUUUGAACGCACAUUGCGCCCCUUGGUAUCCCGAGGGGCAUGCCUGUUCGAGCGUCAUUUCACCACUCAAGCCUGGCUUGGUGUUGGGCGACGUCCUCUUUGGGGACGCGCCUCGAAACGCUCGGCGGCGUGGCACCGGCUUUAAGCGUAGCAGAAUCUUUCGCUUUGGAAGUCGGGGCCCCGUCUGCCGGAAGACCUGCUCGCAAGGUUGACCUCCGAUCAGGCAGGGAUACCCGCUGAACUUAAGCAUAUCAAUAAGCGGAGGA
rnacentral:misc_RNA from 1 species